rnacentral:rRNA from 1 species
AUUGAACGCUGGCGGCAGGCCUAACACAUGCAAGUCGAGCGGAUGAAGGGAGCUUGCUCCUGGAUUCAGCGGCGGACGGGUGAGUAAUGCCUAGGAAUCUGGCUGGUAGUGGGGGAUAACGUCCGGAAACGGGCGCUAAUACCGCAUACGUCCUGAGGGAGAAAGUGGGGGAUCUUCGGACCUCACGCUAUCAGAUGAGCCUAGGUCGGAUUAGCUAGUUGGUGGGGUAAAGGCCUACCAAGGCGACGAUCCGUAACUGGUCUGAGAGGAUGAUCAGUCACACUGGAACUGAGACACGGUCCAGACUCCUACGGGAGGCAGCAGUGGGGAAUAUUGGACAAUGGGCGAAAGCCUGAUCCAGCCAUGCCGCGUGUGUGAAGAAGGUCUUCGGAUUGUAAAGCACUUUAAGUUGGGAGGAAGGGCAGUAAGUUAAUACCUUGCUGUUUUGACGUUACCAACAGAAUAAGCACCGGCUAACUUCGUG